rnacentral:rRNA from 1 species
GGCAACGCCAUACACCCUGAAUGCGCCCGAUCUCGUCUGAUCUCGGAAGCUAAGCAGGGUCAGGCCUGGUUAGUACUUGGAUAGGAGACCGCCUGGAAUACCAGGUGCUGUAAGCU